AGGGGAUUAGUGUAGUGGUCAUCACGGCGGUCUUUGACACCGCAGAUAUAGGUUCGACUCCUAUAUUCCCUG
rnacentral:tRNA from 1 species